CGCGAGACAGUUCGGUCUCUAUCUGUUGUGGGCGUAGGAAAUUUGCGAAGGACUGACCUUAGUACGAGAGGACCGGGUCGGACCAGCCUCUGGCAUGCCGGUUGUGCCGUCAGGUGCAUUGCCGGGUACCCACGCUGGGUCAGGAUAAGCGCUGAAAGCAUCUAAGCGCGAAGCCGUCUUCAAGAUGAGAUUUCCAUUGAGGGUCGUUGGAGACUACGACGUAGAUAGGCAGGAAGUGUAAGUGCGGUAACGUAUUCAGCUGACCUGUACUAAUGGCCCGAUAUCUUUUUUCUC
rnacentral:rRNA from 1 species